CCUACGGGUGGCAGCAGUGGGGAAUAUUGCUCAAUGGGCGAAACCCUGAUGCAGCGACGCCGCGUGAGUGAAGAAGUAUCUCGGUACGUAAAGCUCUAUCAGUAGGGAAGAAAAUGACGGUACCUGACUAAGAAGCCCCGGCUAACUACGUGCCAGCAGCCGCGGUAAUACGUAGGGUGCAAGCGUUAUCCGGAUUUACUGGGUGUUAAGGGAGCGUAGACGGCAGCACAAGUCUGGAGUGAAAUCCCGGGGCUUAACCCCGGAACUGCUUUGGAAACUGUGCGGCUGGAGUGCAGGAGGGGUAGGCGGAAUGCCUAGUGUAGCGGUGAAAUGCGUAGAUAUUAGGAGGAACACCGGUGGCGAAGGCGGCUUACUGGACUGUAACUGACGUUGAGGCUCGAAAGCGUGGGGAGCAAACAGGAUUAGAUACCCCGGUAGUC
rnacentral:rRNA from 1 species